rnacentral:lncRNA from 1 species
AGCCAUGGUUCCUGUGGGAGGCGAUGAAAGAGAGAAGAGCCCAAGCAAAAACAGCUCAGGGAGGGGGCACCUGCGGCAGAACAGAGAGCCACCGAGGAGGAGGGACAAAAGCCGGCGGAGCGUCACGCACACGCACGCACAUGCGCACGCCAUAAACCCAUAGCUGGCUCUUCCAAGCGGGUUUCUACUGGAUCAUCAACAGUGGCCAAAAGAAAAAGGGCCCCACGUAGAAGCUGAUAUGAGGCGGGGCUCCAGAAGUGAGAAGCAGCAGGCUUAUCCUGCGAAGUAGCCAGCCAGCCUCCUCGCGACGUGAUGGGACAGAGGAGACAGAACGGAGGUUGUUCGCAAAGCUUCUAUCAUAGGAAAAACUGCCCAGGAGAGGCCAGGGAAUAAUCAUUUGCCUGGAGUUAUGUCCUAUUUACUAGCAGGGCUGGAACUAGAACCUAGGCACUGUGACCCCUCCUCCAGGGCCCUUUCCAAAUCCGGUAGGCCUGGUCUGACCCUGGGCUUAAGGAUAACCCAAGCCACUGUGAAAAUUCAACUGCCAUUACCAUCUCUGCAGAAGAGCAAGGGAAACGUGUCUGGACACGGUUCUCCUCUCUCCUAUCCUCAGCCCAUGGCUCUGGGUAGAUUGUGAUGAAUAUUCUCAGUUGCCCUCUCAUCUCUUCCAACCCUGCCACUUCUGUCAGGGCCAAAGACUGUGCAGAAUGGGAUGAUAGGUGACAGCUAGGAAAAGGGAAGACAGCCCUAAGGACAGGCCAUCUCAGGGAGGACUUGGUUUCCUCACCUGCAUGAUGACAGCACCUGCACCUCCUAGGGCUGUGAUGGGAUCAGAUGAGAGGCUGCAUUUGGUGCACCCGGCCCAGGCUCAGUAAAGUUCCUAACUCCCACAGCCCCAGAGUCCUGCCCUAUGCCCUAGGGGCAGGAAUGCUGAUGUCAUGAAGCUUCCACUAAAAACCCCAGAGGACUGGGUUCUGAGAGCUUCCCUAUGGCUGAACACACGGAGGUUCCUGAAGCUUGUGCAUCCCUCUCCCCAUACCUCGCCCUACACAUCUGUUCAUCUGUAUCCUUUGUAAUAUUCUUUAUAAUAAACCAGUAAAUGUUUAAAAAAUACA